rnacentral:rRNA from 1 species
GACGAACGCUGGCGGCGUGCUUAACACAUGCAAGUCGAACGGAAAGGCCCUGCUUUUGUGGGGUGCUCGAGUGGCGAACGGGUGAGUAACACGUGAGUAACCUGCCCUUGACUUUGGGAUAACUUCAGGAAACUGGGGCUAAUACCGGAUAGGAGCUCCUGCUGCAUGGUGGGGGUUGGAAAGUUUCGGCGGUUGGGGAUGGACUCGCGGCUUAUCAGCUUGUUGGUGGGGUAGUGGCUUACCAAGGCUUUGACGGGUAGCCGGCCUGAGAGGGUGACCGGCCACAUUGGGACUGGGAUACGGCCCAGACUCCUACGGGAGGCAGCAGUGGGGAAUAUUACACAAUGGGCGGAAGCCUGAUGCAGCAACGCCGCGUGCGGGAUGACGGCCUUCGGGUUGUAAGCCGCUUUCGCCUGUGACGAAGCGUGAGUGACGGUAAUGGGUAAAGAAGCACCGGCUAACUACGUG